AACUUUGGCACAUUAGCCAUAAAUUAUAAUCAACCCAUCAUCAAUUAGAAAUUAGUUACUAUAGUAUAUACACGUAUUUGACCCAUACUUUAAUUAAUAAUUAAAGCCCAAUAAACCUUAACCAAAUUUGAUCACUUUUAAUUUGGGCUAACCUAUUAUGAUAGUAAAUAAUAAUUGUAAUAGGGCCAAUUUGCCCAGCCCAAAUUAAAUAAUAAUAAUAAAUCAAAAAUUAAAAAAAUUAAAAUUAAAAAAAAUAAUAAAUAAAAUUAAAGGCCCAAAUGUCCAAAAUUACAGACUAAAAUCAAACCUAUCAGACCCACCGAGCCCAAUAAACUCCAACCCAAUAACCCAAAUUACAUCAAACCCGAGCCCAAAAUAUUCUGACCCAGUUUACAUGGCCCGAUUCCAAGUGAAACCCUAGCCUUCAGUAGCUUUCUACCCUUGCACCGCAACCGAACCAGAUCCCCGCACGUGUUGCGCCUCCGCGCCUAGUCCACGUGCGCCUUCUCCAGGCCGUACCUGCACACAACAAACGCC
rnacentral:lncRNA from 1 species